ncrna:Branchiostoma floridae (Florida lancelet) microRNA bfl-mir-2062 precursor
CCUGCUCUGCAACAAUAUUUCAUCAGUGGUGAACUCCAAAAUCUACUGGUGAAAUGUAGUUGCGUAGGAGG